rnacentral:misc_RNA from 1 species
GAUGAAGAACGUAGCGAAAUGCGAUAAGUAAUGUGAAUUGCAGAAUCCAGUGAAUCAUCGAAUCUUUGAACGCACAUUGCGCCCCCUGGUAUUCCGGGGGGCAUGCCUGUCCGAGCGUCAUUACAACCCUCAAGCUCAGCUUGGUAUUGGGCCCCGCCGCUCCGGCGGGCCCUAAAGUCAGUGGCGGUGCCGUCCGGCUCCGAGCGUAGUAAUUCUUCUCGCUCUGGAGGUCCGGUCGUGUGCUCGCCAGCAACCCCCAAUUUUUUUCAGGUUGACCUCGGAUCAGGUAGGGAUACCCGCUGAACUUAAGCAUAUCAAUAAGCGGAGGA